UACGUAGGGCGCGAGCGUUGUCCGGAAUUAUUGGGCGUAAAGAGCUCGUAGGCGGCCUGUUGCGUCUGCUAUGAAAUCCCGGGGCUUAACCCCGGGCGUGCAGUGGAUACGGGCAGGCUGGAGGCAGGCAGGGGAGAAUGGAAUUCCCGGUGUAGCGGUGAAAUGCGCAGAUAUCGGGAGGAACACCGGUGGCGAAGGCAGUUCGCUGGGCCUGUUCUGACGCUGAGGAGCGAAAGCGUGGGGAGCGAACAGG
rnacentral:rRNA from 1 species